GAUGAAGAACGCAGCGAAAUGCGAUACGUAAUGUGAAUUGCAGAAUUCAGUGAAUCAUCGAAUCUUUGAACGCAUAUUGCGCUCUCUGGUAUUCCGGAGAGCAUGCUUGUUUGAGUAUCAGUAAACACCUCAACUUCCAUAUCUUUUUUGAAAUGGGAGUUGGACUUGAGUGAUCCCAACGCUUUUCCUCACCGAAAAGUGGCGGGUUACUUGAAAUGCAGGUGCAGCUGGACUUUUCUCUGAGCUAUAAGCAUAUCUAUUUAAUCUGCCUAAAAAACAGAUUAUUACCUUUGCUGCAGCUAACAUAAAGGAGAUUAGUUCUUGUGCUGACUGAUGCAGGAUUCACAAAGACAGGCUUCGGCCGACUUUGUAAACUCGAUCUCAAAUCAAGUAAGACUACCCGCUGAACUUAAGCAUAUCAAUAAGCGGAGGA
rnacentral:misc_RNA from 1 species